rnacentral:rRNA from 1 species
GACGAACGCUGGCGGCGUGCCUAAUACAUGCAAGUUGAGCGAUGAAGAUUGGUGCUUGCACCAAUUUGAAGAGCAGCGAACGGGUGAGUAACGCGUGGGGAAUCUGCCUUUGAGCGGGGGACAACAUUUGGAAACGAAUGCUAAUACCGCAUAACAACUUUAAACAUAAGUUUUAAGUUUGAAAGAUGCAAUUGCAUCACUCAAAGAUGAUCCCGCGUUGUAUUAGCUAGUUGGUGGGGUAAAGGCUCACCAAGGCGAUGAUACAUAGCCGACCUGAGAGGGUGAACGGCCACAUUGGGACUGAGACACGGCCCAAACUCCUACGGGAGGCAGCAGUAGGGAAUCUUCGGAAAUGGACGAAAGUCUGACCGAGCAACGCCGCGUGAGUGAAGAAGGGUUUCGGAUCGUAAAACUCUGUUGGUAGAGAAGAACGUUGGUGAGAGUGGAAAGCUCAUCAAGUGACGGUAACUACACAGAAAGGGACGGCUAACUACGUG